rnacentral:lncRNA from 1 species
UCAUCUACUCAUCAAUGUUGAAUAACUAUUCUACUGAAUAAGUUCAUAAAUCAAGACAAGUCCUAGAGUUUAAUUAAGUAGGUGUUGGAGAUCUCUUAAUGGCCCAAAGUAAUUGUAAAGAGCACCUAAUAAAAUCUAAUUCAAGCAAAAAAUGACAUAGGUUCUUAUCCUCCUCAUGUCUGAAACUUGAUGCUUCUACCAAUCCAAACAAUUUUAUCUGAUCUAUUUUGUAAUUGAUCAAUUACAAGAUUCCUAACUAAACUACUAAGCUCUAACCC